rnacentral:lncRNA from 1 species
AUCCCUUGUGCUCGCUGCAACCAAUUAUUAUUUUAGGGAGACAGUUAACCGCCUGACCAUCACCCGAUGAUCGCCUGAUGUUCAUGCAUCCAUGACUACAUAAACUUUUUGGCCGUUUGACCAAAUGGGGACAUCUGGCAUACUGCUAUCAACCAAUAUGCCCUGUGUUAGAUGCUGCACAAAGAUGAAUAAGUGUGAACAGCUGUCAACUAUUCCAAAGUUGUAGCUGCUACAGCUGCUAUAAAAGGCAGCGAGUCUGAGGCUGCCCCAGGAAUCAGGAGGUGUUGUAUAAGAGGAGAACUUAGCUCUGAAUGGACUAGUAUACCUGAUCACCAGCAGCAGUUAAAAGAAGUGACUUUCACUCUCCGGCAUGAUUCUGAGGCCUCCCCAGCCAUGUGGAACUAAAACUACUGGAGGGUGGUUCCAAGAUGGCCAAAUAGGAACAGCUCCAGUCUACAGCUCCCAGCAUGAGUGAUGCAGAAGACGAAUGAUUUCUGCAUUUCCAACUCAGUUCACAGAUCUUCAACUCCAGAGAACUGAGUUUAAGGAGCUGUACCUGGGAAAUUGUGCCUGAAGCUGUUCCUGAGGAAUCUGCACCUGGAUCUAAUGUACAUGCUGAGAUCCUGGAUUUGAGCUGAUGCCAUAGUGGGAUGAGACUUUGCCGUCUUGGGUGUGGGAUGAAUAUAUUUUGCACUGGGAAGGAUGUGAAGUAUUGUGGUUAAAAGGUGGACUGUAGUUCAUUGCAUUUUUCAACAAUGGCCACAACAGCAUCUCUUAUCCUAUGUGCUCUUCUUCCAAUGUGACUGUGUCCUCUCUCAUUAAGAUGCGGAGUCUAUUUCUCCACUCUCUCAAAUCUGGUGGACCCUGGGACUUCUACCAACAGAGUACAGUGGAAAUGAUGCUGGGCCACUUCCCGGUUUGGUCUUUAACUAGUCUGGCAGCUUCUCCUUUCUGCUUCUUGGAAGCCAGUAAGAAGUACAACUAUCCUGAGGCUUCUGCUGUGAGAAGCCCAAGCCAUGGGAGAGGCUCUGGAGAAUGAGACUUCACUGGGAGAGUGAAGAGAGGAGCGAAGAGAAAGAGAGAGGCACCAAGGAUCACUGAGUUGCCAGAACAUGAAUGCUAAGGCCAUAUUGGAAAUGGAUUCUCCUGCUUCAGCUGCCCCAGCUGAUGCCACCAGGAUCAGAGAUGAUCUGGCCAGCUGAGCCCUUCCUUAAUUCUAACCCAUAAAAUUGUGUGCGAAACAAAAUGGUUGUUUUCAACCACUAAGUUUUGGGGUAGGUUUUAUGCAGCAGCAGAUAAUGGAAAUACUGCUUGGUUUUGACUUUCAAAAAAAUCCAUUUGUUUUCAG